GCUUCUGUGGUGUAGUGGUAGCAUGCGCUCCCGCUAUGGGUGGAACGCGGGUUCAACUUCCGUCUGAAGUC